UACGAGAGGUGCAAGCGUUAUUCGGAAUUAUUGGGCGUAAAGGGUGCGUAGGCGGUUUGUUAAGUUUGUUGUUAAAUACUUUGGCCUAACUGAAGAACAGCAACGAAAACUGGCAAACUAGAGGGUGAAAGAGAGAAGUGGAAUUCCCGGAGUAGCGGUAAAAUGCGUAGAUCUCGGGAGGAACACCAAUGGCGAAGGCUGCUUCUUGGUUCACUACUGACGCUGAGGCACGAAAGCGUGGGGAGCAAACAGG
rnacentral:rRNA from 1 species